rnacentral:rRNA from 1 species
AGUGGCGGACGGGUGAGUAACGCGUAAGAAUCUAACUUCAGGACGGGGACAACAGUGGGAAACGACUGCUAAUACCCGAUGUGCCGCGAGGUGAAACCUAAUUGGCCUGAAGAAGAGCUUGCGUCUGAUUAGCUAGUUGGUGGGGUAAGAGCCUACCAAGGCGACGAUCAGUAGCUGGUCUGAGAGGAUGAGCAGCCACACUGGGACUGAGACACGGCCCAGACUCCUACGGGAGGCAGCAGUGGGGAAUUUUCCGCAAUGGGCGAAAGCCUGACGGAGCAACGCCGCGUGAGGGAGGAAGGUCUUUGGAUUGUAAACCUCUUUUCUCAAGGAAGAAGUUCUGACGGUACUUGAGGAAUCAGCCUCGGCUAACUCCGUGCCAGCAGCCGCGGUAAUACGGGGGAGGCGAGCGUUAUCCGGAAUUAUUGGGCGUAAAGCGUCCGCAGGUGGUCAGCCAAGUCUGCCGUCAAAUCAGGUUGCUUAACGACCUAAAGGCGGUGGAAACUGGCAGACUAGAGAGCAGUAGGGGUAGCAGGAAUUCCCAGUGUAGCGGUGAAAUGCGUAGAGAUUGGGAAGAACAUCGGUGGCGAAAGCGUGCUACUGGGCUGUAUCUGACACUCAGGGACGAAAGCUAGGGGAGCGAAAGGGAUUAGAUACCCCUGUAGUCCUAGCCGUAAACGAUGGAUACUAGGCGUGGCUU